GUCCCUGUAGUGCAAUGGAUAGCACGUUGGGCUUCUAAUCCAAAGACCGUGGGUUCGAACUCCGCCUGGGGUG